rnacentral:rRNA from 1 species
AAACUUAAAGGAAUUGACGGGGGCCCGCACAAGCGGUGGAGCAUGUGGUUUAAUUCGAAGCAACGCGAAGAACCUUACCUACCCUUGACAUGUCCGGAACUUGCCAGAGAUGGCUUGGUGCCCGAAAGGGAAUCGGAACACAGGUGCUGCAUGGCUGUCGUCAGCUCGUGUCGUGAGGUGUUGGGUUAAGUCCCGCAACGAGCGCAACCCUUAUCAUUAGUUGCUACGCAAGGGCACUCUAAUGAGACUGCCGGUGACAAACCGGAGGAAGGUGGGGAUGACGUCAAGUCCUCAUGGCCCUUAUGGGUAGGGCUUCACACGUCAUACAAUGGUCGGUACAGAGGGUUGCCAAGCCGCGAGGCGGAGCCAAUCCCACAAAGCCGAUCGUAGUCCGGAUUGUUCUCUGCAACUCGAGAGCAUGAAGUCGGAAUCGCUAGUAAUCGCAGGUCAGCAUACUGCGGUGAAUACGUUCCCGGGUCUU